GACAGAGGUGCCGAGCGUUAGGCGGAAUCACUGGGCUUAAAGCGUGUGUAGGCGGACUUCUAAGUACCUUGUGAAAUCCCACGGCUCAACCGUGGAACUGCUUGGUAUACUGGUUGUCUUGAGCCACUUAGGGGCAGUCGGAACAGACGGUGGAGCGGUGAAAUGCGUAGAUAUUCGCAAGAACACCAGUGGCGAAGGCGGCUCACUGGCCCGGUACUGACGCUGAGGUGCGAAAGCGUGGGGAGCAAACAGG
rnacentral:rRNA from 1 species